UACGUAGGUGGCAAGCGUUGUCCGGAAUUAUUGGGCGUAAAGCGCGCGCAGGCGGUCCUUUAAGUCUGAUGUGAAAGCCCACGGCUCAACCGUGGAGGGUCAUUGGAAACUGGGGGACUUGAGUACAGAAGAGAAGAGUGGAAUUCCACGUGUAGCGGUGAAAUGCGUAGAGAUGUGGAGGAACACCAGUGGCGAAGGCGACUCUUUGGUCUGUAACUGACGCUGAGGCGCGAAAGCUAGGGGAGCAAACAGG
rnacentral:rRNA from 1 species